UCGCUUGUAUUUCAAAAACAUGUCUUUUUGUUUAAAAUUUAAAGUCUAACCUGCCCACUGAUUUUAUUAAAGGGCCGCGGUAUAUUGACUGUGCAAAGGUAGCAUAAUCAUUUGUCUCUUAAUUGGAGGCUGGAAUGAAUGGUUGAAUGAAAUAUUAACUGUCUCAUUUUUAAAAUUAUAAAAAUUUAGCUUUUAAGUUAAAAGGCUUAAAUAUUUUUAGAGGACGAGAAGACCCUAUAGAUCUUUAUAAUUUAUUUAAUUUUAUAAUAUAGAAUAAUAAUUAGUAAAAUUAUAUAAAUUAUUUUAUUGGGGUGAUAGGAAAAUUUAAUAAACUUUUUUUAUUUAUAAACAUUGAUUUAUGAAUAAUUGAUCCAUUUUUAGUGAUUAUAAGAUUAAGUUACCUUAGGGAUAACAGCGUAAUUUUUUUAAAGAGUUCUUAUCGAUAAAAAAGAUUGCGACCUCGAUGUUGAAUUAAAGGUUAUUUCUAGAUGUAGCAGUUUAGAGUUUAGGUCUGUUCGACCUUUAAAUCUUUACAUGAUCUGAGU
rnacentral:rRNA from 1 species